rnacentral:lncRNA from 1 species
GUCAUAUCUUGUACGGUAAAUCGCGGUGUACGCAUAGCACUGCCAGAACUCCGUGUACUGCCAACAAUCUCGGUAAUGGAAGGAAAGGCUAAAUUAGUUCAAUUACAACGUGAAAUGACUGAGUCGAGCAUUUCGUCCGGGAGGUAAGGCAAAAGCACACAUAUGGGAUUUUAAGGAGCCUGCAUUAUGUUUUACGGUUGUAUACAAUUACGGGAAGGCGAGCAGUGUCACCGUGAGCCGCGUGCACGUUGAAGAAUGGAGACGUCAAUGAGGACGGGUCACUGAGAUAUCUAUGAGGCCAAGGCACAGGCCAUGGCACAGGCCAUCGCACCGACAGCUCCCGUCAGGAUACCGGAGACUACUAAACCAAGAGGGAUAAAAGAGAUUCUCAAAAGCGAAGUUGUUUCCGAAGCCAGAGCAGAAACUCGUCACAACACGGUGCAGUUUGCUGGACGUGUGACCGGCCUUCUGCUGGCCCCCAAUUCCUGGAGCGAAGCAAUAAAGCCCG